GUAAACGACUGAGUGAGUGAAUGAGUGAGUGAGCGAGUGAAGGAGUGAAUGAGUGAGUGUGAAUGAGUUAGCGAGUGAAUGAAUGAGUGAGUGAAUGAGUGAGUGGGUUGCUCAGAGGAGAUGAGGACCGGAGCUGCCCUCCGGCUGCUACAGUAGACAGGAGCUGAAGGAGGAGUCUGAAGGGUGGGAUGUACCCACUGGGUACAUACACCCUGCUCGACACAUCCCCAAAGAAACCCAAUCUCACCAGAGUGGUGUCUUGAGAUUUAUUAGUAACAAUCUUUUUUCCCAAUAUUUCAUAUAUGCAGGAUGAUUUCUUACUUUCCUUUAAAAGGCCAAUCGUUUUUUGGACUUGGAAUUCUCCACUGCUGGUCAAUGCCACUGUAUUCUGCCAUAGGGGCAUCCCUGGAGUUGGAGAAAGAGUCAUUCCCAGGAAUGGAUAAAAGCCGGAAGGGCAUCAUCAGGUAUCUUCCACAGACCUGUGACCUGUCGCUGUGUACAAGCUUGAAUUCAUAACUACCAGUCCUAGAAGUUCCCUUGCUGCCCGCGCUGAACUGAAGUGGCUCCCAACAGAGGCAUUCAAGAGAAAACUCACUGAAAUAUUUGAAACCACUGCCAUGAACAAGAAUGCUCUUCAUGUGUGCCCGGAUGUACACCCAGAGUGUUAUCUUGUUAGUUGUAUAUGCCAGCAUCCAGCAGGAGCUUUUACCUUUUUUGGGUGUCAACUUUGAGAUUCUGAUGUAAGCCACAGACCUCUUCCUCUGCCUGCAAGCACACCCACCCACAACCACGUGUUGCCGGGUUUAGAGAACUCCUGGGCCUGCAGCUGCGUCCACCUACAGGAGGAGGAGUGAAGCCCAGACCAGGGACAGGGUCAGAGCUGCGGUCACUCAUCCAUGGGCGGACAGCUCUGCAUUCUUGCGAGGGCCUAGAUACCCUCUUCUCUUGGAAGGCCAAGCCCAGAGCCUAAGUGGUCUUUGAACCCAAAUAGACUUUGUGGUCUAGGGAAUGAGAGCCCUACUCACCAGGGGAAGAAAUUGGGGAUCUUGGUCCUGAGUUUGUGGGGCAGACUUUUGCCAUUUUCCUCCCCCUUUCCCUGCCAUGCCCUAUUUGAAAAGAGGUCACUUCCUGAAUUUCAGUGAGCCAAGAUCGAGCCACUGCACUCCAACCUGGGCAACAGAGUGAGACUCCGUCUCAAGAAAAAAAAAAAAAAAAA